rnacentral:rRNA from 1 species
UACAGAGGGGGCGAGCGUUAUUCGGAAUUAUUGGGCGUAAAGGGCGCGUAGGCGGCGAAACAAGUGACGGGUGAAAUCCCUCGGCUUAACCGAGGAACUGCCUGUCAGACUGUUUGGCUUGAGACCGGGAGAGGUGAGUGGAAUUCCCAGUGUAGCGGUGAAAUGCGUAGAUAUGCGGAGGAACACCGAUGGCGAAGGCAAUCCCCUGGGCCUGCACUGACGCUCAUGCACGAAAGCGUGGGGAGCAAACAGG